rnacentral:rRNA from 1 species
UACGUAGGGGGCAAGCGUUGUCCGGAAUCAUUGGGCGUAAAGCGCGUGUAGGCGGCCCGGUAAGUCCGCUGUGAAAGUCGGGGGCUCAACCCUCGAAUGCCGGUGGAUACUGUCGGGCUAGAGUGCGGGAGAGGCGAGUGGAAUUCCUGGUGUAGCGGUGAAAUGCGCAGAUAUCAGGAGGAACGCCGAUGGCGAAGGCAGCUCGCUGGGACGGUACUGACGCUGAGGCGCGAAAGCGUGGGGAGCGAACAGG